UUAAAUUUUAUAUUAAUUAUAUAAUAGAUUAAUUUUAUGUUCCUCAAUCAAUAGUAAAUGGUUCCUAUUGGACCAUUUUUUUUAAAUAAUUUGGUUCUAUUUUAUUUUUUUAAAUUUCUUUUUUGAUAAUAUGUUCUUUUGUGUCAUUGGUUUGUGAGUCUUUCUGUAUACGUGUCCACCCACCGCUCCAAAAAUCUAUCCAUGUCGCCACCUGUUUUUCCAAACCACCCAUCAUCACUUUCUAUGCUUUAUCUCUCCCACUGUUCCUCUUUUCUUUGUCCUUCGUUUUAUUUCUGUUCUCUUUCUGGCAGAUACCCGUUUUCUCAACAUACCCGGUGGUCGGUGGUGCCCAACAAAAACCCUAAAUUGAUUUCCAUCGUUUGUUUGUCCAUCUCCAUAUCUAUUACGCUUAUCGUUUCCUUCUCAGUUCAUCCGGGUUCUCUUUGACGUUGAUGGCUACCACCUUUGACUGCAUGCUGCUUCGUCUUCCUCCUAAAAGUAGUCAAACCCGGAGUCGCAGAUUUAUAUAUGAAGCCGCAAUAGAUUUCUGAUUCCGUGGAUUUCAGUACUCAUGUAGAUGAUUGAACCAUACCAUGAUCGAUCCUCACUCCUACCUUUCCGGCUACCAUCUCUUGAAAGCCCAUCUUCUCAAUACGGUUCUUUUUUUCUCUAAUCCCUAGUUCCCUCCUUUUUUUAUUGUUUAUUCUUAGGUGUGAAGAAAUUUAUAGUGUGGAGUGCUCAUUAACAAGUUGAGCGCUAAGUAUCGACACAUGUAGGACUUUUUUUUUACUUGGUUACUCUCUGUAACUCUAAUAGAUGUAUUUCAGAUUUUCUUCUUUAAUUACUUGCAGAAAAUCUAUAUGAUUUUUCUAUACAAAGGUAUGUUUUUUUUAUUAAUUUAGGUAGGGCGUCAUUAGACGUUUUUAGCCCGAUAUCUGAAAGGCCGGUCACAAAUGGACUCCGGUAGCUUUGCAAAGUAUAGUAUCAACAAGUUCAUAUUGUAAUAUACUAUAUAUUUGAAGUUCUUAGUCAACUACGAGUUCAUAUUGUAAUAUACUCUUAUAGCUUUACAAAGUAUAGUAUCUUAGAAAGAAAGUAACUAAAAAUCAUCAAUGAUCACUUCACAUUGUAUUGUUAAUUUUAUGUUAAUCGGAUAAGAACCCGGUGGUUGUAAAUAUUACACCAGGGUAAUAAUUUUACAUUCUUUUUUGUUUAAUCAUGUUAUAAUUGGACACCACAGGAGUAGGGGAUGCUUUUGUGGCUGGAGUUUUAUCAAACUUGCUGAACAUUUUCCAAUGUUAUAGGAUGAGAAUAGGCUAAGAGAGGCUUUCGGUUUUACAAAUGCUUAUGGUGCAAUUACUGUGAUAGAGAUGUGAUAGAGAGAGGAGGACUUCCGUCAUUACCCACUAGAGAUUUACUUAAGGGGAUCUGCAACAAGUGAGAGAUGAACUUGACCGCCAGCUGGCGUUAGCUCAACAUUUAACAGUUGAAGUCUUGCAAUAUAAAGGGUUUACUGAAAAAUCUGCAGAUGAAUCGAGUAUAACAUCAAGAUCUGUAGUUCUGCAGCUUGCAAAGUAAUGUUAGUAGAAAAAAUUUACACCGGUGAAAAACACGUCUGUGUUUAGGAAAAUUGUUUUGAAUAGCAACUUUGCAACCUAAGAAAUUG